UACGUAGGGGGCAAGCGUUGUCCGGAUUUACUGGGCGUAAAGAGCGUGUAGGCGGCCACGCAGGUCCGUUGUGAAAACUGGAGGCUCAACCUCCAGCUGUCGACGGAAACCGUGUGGCUAGAGUCCGGAAGAGGAGAGCGGAAUUCCUGGUGUAGCGGUGAAAUGCGCAGAUAUCAGGAAGAACACCGAUGGCGAAGGCAGCUCUCUGGGACGGUACUGACGCUGAGACGCGAAAGCGUGGGGAGCGAACAGG
rnacentral:rRNA from 1 species